rnacentral:rRNA from 1 species
UAGGGAAUCUUCGGCAAUGGGGGCAACCCUGACCGAGCAACGCCGCGUGAGUGAAAAAGGUUUUCGGAUCGUAAAGCUCUGUUGUAAGAGAAGAACGUGUGUGAGAGUGGAAAGUUCACACAGUGACGGUAACUUACCAGAAAGGGACGGCUAACUACGUGCCAGCAGCCGCGGUAAUACGUAGGUCCCGAGCGUUGUCCGGAUUUAUUGGGCGUAAAGCGAGCGCAGGCGGUUUAAUAAGUCUGAAGUUAAAGGCAGUGGCUUAACCAUUGUUCGCUUUGGAAACUGUUAAACUUGAGUGCAGAAGGGGAGAGUGGAAUUCCAUGUGUAGCGGUGAAAUGCGUAGAUAUAUGGAGGAACACCGGUGGCGAAAGCGGCUCUCUGGUCUGUAACUGACGCUGAGGCUCGAAAGCGUGGGGAGCAAACAGG